CGGCGCUGGCGAGGCCGGGACCCAGAUUUCUGGACAGGGGGAGGCGCCGCACAGCCCAGCAGAGCGGGGACCCGCGCUGGCUUUCCCCGGCCGAGGCGUGAACACACCCUGUGGAUGGACGAGCGGUGGCGGGAGCGGCGGAGACUGGACCUGGAGAAAGGAUUUUGCUGUGUUGACCAGGCUGGCCUCCAACUCUUGAGCUCAGAACGAUCCUCUUUGCCUCAAUAUCCCGAGUAGCUGCAACUACAGACACAUUCUAUUUUUUAAAAAAAAUGUAUGUGUUUUGUGUAAGGAAUACAUGCAUAUUUUUAGCAAAUUCAAAAGGAAAAAAAUAUA